rnacentral:rRNA from 1 species
GAUGAACGCUAGCUACAGGCUUAACACAUGCAAGUCGAGGGGCAGCAUGGUCUUAGCUUGCUAAGGCCGAUGGCGACCGGCGCACGGGUGAGUAACACGUAUCCAACCUGCCGUCUACUCUUGGACAGCCUUCUGAAAGGAAGAUUAAUACAAGAUGGCAUCAUGAGUUCACAUGUUCACAUGAUUAAAGGUAUUCCGGUAGACGAUGGGGAUGCGUUCCAUUAGAUAGUAGGCGGGGUAACGGCCCACCUAGUCUUCGAUGGAUAGGGGUUCUGAGAGGAAGGUCCCCCACACUGGUACUGAGACACGGACCAGACUCCUACGGGAGGCAGCAGUGAGGAAUAUUGGUCAAUGGGCGAGAGCCUGAACCAGCCAAAUCGCGUGAAGGAUGAAGGUAUUAUGUAUUGUAAACUUCUUUUACAGGGGAAUAAAGUGCGGGACGUGUCCCGUUUUGUAUGUACCCUGAGAAUAAGGAUCGGCUAACUCCGUGCCAGC